UCACAGUGAUGAAUGGUCCAUACAUUCGCGGUUUCCACCAGAACUUCAGGUGUUGGCAACUUAGAUUCCUUCCUUGGAUGUCUGAGUGA
ensembl:snoRNA SNORD14 Small nucleolar RNA SNORD14